UGAUGUAUAAAUACACACUCAAUCAAUUGGGAUCAAGUGUAUAAAUACACACCGCCGUUUCCCGCUUGACUGAUCCAUAGUCCGCUGGUUAUACGUUAAUCCAUAGCCAGCGGGUUAUUGAUCUCAGAUGCCGAACANNUGCUCUUCAAAACACUCGCAGAUCCGACCCGCCGGGCGAUCUUCGAGCGCUUGUGCCGCGGAGGAGAGCAGACUGUCGGGGCGCUGACGGCGCAGGCCGGGGGCUCGCAGCCGGGCCGGCCGUCUCGAAGCAUCUCGGCGUUCUCAAGCAGGCCGGGCUGGUGAGCGACCGGCAUGAGGGACGGCAAACCCAUUACAGAGCGCAGCUCGGCGCCUUGGCGCCCCUGAUCGACUGGACAAGCCAGAUGGCCGGCUUCUGGGAAAGCCGGUUCGACGACCUCGAAAAUUUGCUGAGAAGGAUGGACCAAUGAGCACCACCAUGACCGAAACGCGUUCUGUCGUUGUGGAAAGAGACUUCUCUUUUCCGCCGGAAAAGCUCUGGCGCGCGCUGACGCAACCGCACCUGAUCGAG
rnacentral:misc_RNA from 1 species